rnacentral:rRNA from 1 species
AAAUUGAAGAGUUUGAUCAUGGCUCAGAUUGAACGCUGGCGGCAGGCCUAACACAUGCAAGUCGAACGGUAACAGGAAGCAGCUUGCUGCUUUGCUGACGAGUGGCGGACGGGUGAGUAAUGUCUAGGAAACUGCCUGAUGGAGGGGGAUAACUACUGGAAACGGUGGCUAAUACCGCAUAACGUCGCAAGACCAAAGAGGGGGACCUUCGGGCCUCUUGCCAUCAGAUGUGCCCAGAUGGGAUUAGCUUGUUGGUGAGGUAACGGCUCACCAAGGCGACGAUCCCUAGCUGGUCUGAGAGGAUGACCAGCCACACUGGAACUGAGACACGGUCCAGACUCCUACGGGAGGCAGCAGUGGGGAAUAUUGCACAAUGGGCGCAAGCCUGAUGCAGCCAUGCCGCGUGUAUGAAGAAGGCCUUCGGGUUGUAAAGUACUUUCAGCGGGGAGGAAGGUGUUG